rnacentral:rRNA from 1 species
GAUGAACGCUGGCGGCGUGCCUAAUACAUGCAAGUCGAGCGAACAGACAAGGAGCUUGCUCCUCUGACGUUAGCGGCGGACGGGUGAGUAACACGUGGAUAACCUACCUAUAAGACUGGGAUAACUUCGGGAAACCGGAGCUAAUACCGGAUAAUAUAUUGAACCGCAUGGUUCAAUAGUGAAAGACGGUUUUGCUGUCACUUAUAGAUGGAUCCGCGCCGCAUUAGCUAGUUGGUAAGGUAACGGCUUACCAAGGCAACGAUGCGUAGCCGACCUGAGAGGGUGAUCGGCCACACUGGAACUGAGACACGGUCCAGACUCCUACGGGAGGCAGCAGUAGGGAAUCUUCCGCAAUGGGCGAAAGCUUGACGGAGCAACGCCGCGUGAGUGAUGAAGGUCUUCGGAUCGUAAAACUCUGUUAUUAGGGAAGAACAAAUGUGUAAGUAACUAUGCACGUCUUGACGGUACCUAAUCAGAAAGCCACGGCUAACUACGU